GAAGAAGAAGAAGAAGAAGAAGAAGAAGAAGAAGAAGAAGGCUGUUCACAUGAUUCUUAUUUCCUAGCCCCAUAAUUCUCAGCUUUGAUGCCUGUGACCGCGGUGCCAGGAAGGCUCAACUAGUCAGGAAGCAUCCUCUGCUGAGGAGUCCACAGACACAACCUUACGUGCCAGUGCAGGUGUCCACGGAGGCCUGAAGAGGGCA